UUCAAUUCUUAGGUCUGACUCGACUGUGACAUUGUAGUAUUUCACUUUUAAAGUUGCAAUAGCACAAAUUGUGAAUUAAAAAACUAAAUUUUUUGCUGUGUUUAUGGCUCCAGAUAGUAUAGGCACUUAUAAGGAUCCACUGAGAGAUACAAUUUUCCGAUAUUUUGGCUACGCGGUUUUAAUUGGGGAAACUCUACAACCUUUAUUCCAAGAUUGUAGUGAUAAUGGGCAAACUCAAAUAUUGGCAGCAUUUCCUCUUAUGCAACAAGUGUACAUUUUUACUGAUACCGUCAGCCAAUUGAGCAUUUGUGACUAUGUUGGUUGUACAUUGGACGAGACACUUUUAACCUUGGCAGAUAUGAUUAUUUAUGACUUGUUGUCUUGCAUAUACUUCCCUACAGUCGUAGUUGAAACUGUGUCAUAUGCAACAGAAUCAAGUCUUAAGUACUUCGAAAUCGAUGAAAGAAUUGUAACUUAUGUACCUCCAAUUGUCGCCAUUGCAAGCUUAUGGUUUCUUUCUGAUGAAAUUGAUAAUAUUUCGCAUAUCGUUAUGGAUCUCACAAUACGACAAUUUUAUCAAUUCAUCUUGGGAGAUGCUGAACAUGGGUAAUUUAAGAAAUAAUUUAUUGGAGGGAACGAGUGGUUUCAAAAUUUUAUGCGCAAUAAUUAAAUGCAAUGGAGGGUUGUGAUCAUUUCGGUACCGCAGACCCAAUGUUGACAUAUUAAUUGCGUUCUUGGGGUUCAAUCAAGCCUGAAGCCUGUUUUCAGUGGAAUAUUUCAAUGAUUUUUAAAAGUUUAUGUAUAUUAUUUAUUAUUUAUUUGAAAUAAUAAAAAUUUGUUUUUCCUA
rnacentral:misc_RNA from 1 species